CCUACGGGUGGCAGCAGUGGGGGAUAUUGGACAAUGGGGGGAACCCUGAUCCAGCGACGCCGCGGGAGUGAAGAAGUAUGUCGGUAGGUAAAGCUCUGUCAGCAGGGAAGAAAGAAAUGACGGUACCUGACCAAGAAGCCCCGGCUAACUACGUGCCAGCAGCCGCGGUAAUACGUAGGGGGCAAGCGUUAUCCGGAAUUACUGGGUUUAAAGGGUGCGUAGGUGGAAGGGCAAGUCAGAUGUGAAAGCCCCGGGCUCAACCCCGGUACUGCAUUUGAAACUGUCCAGCUGGAGUGCAGGAGAGGUAAGCGGAAUUCCUAGUGUAGCGGUGAAAUGCGUAGAUAUUAGGAGGAACACCAGUGGCGAAGGCGGCUUACUGGACUGUAACUGACACUGAGGCACGAAAGCGUGGGGAGCAAACAGGAUUAGAUACCCUAGUAGUC
rnacentral:rRNA from 1 species